rnacentral:lncRNA from 10 species
AAGUGAUCCAUCCGCCUUGGCCUCCCAAAGUGUUGGGAUUACCACCAUGCUCAGCCCGUGACCAAUUUCCUUAAGCCUGUGGGGUACAGCUCCAGGGGCAGAAGAUGUUACUGAAAUGCCAGGCAUCCCAUUGCUUGCUGCACAGAAUGCCAGGUGUCCCAUUCCUUGCUGCACAGAAAGCCAAUCACUGAGACUACAAGUAUUACCAGAGCAGAAUGCUUGAUUUGGGUGCUGUGGCCAAGGAGAAUGGGAGGUCAGUCUCAAAUCUGUCUCUUCAAUCAACUAAAAUUAGGAGUUUAUAUAGCAAGGAAGGAAUGUAACUAUGUGUGGGAAAACAGGAAUUAGGGAGAGUAAAAAAGAGUUGGUCAACAGACAGCAGGUGGUCUGUGAGGCAAUCAUGACUGGUGAGAGAUCUCACUGUCCAGACGUGGUGAUCUGGAAUCCCCAGCUGCAGAACAGAUGAAGGCGACACCUGGCUUCUUCCUGGGAAUGGUUGCUGGCAAUGGGACACUCUCACUUUCAGCUGCCUCUGAGUUUGAAUGGUGACUCAUACCCCCUGUCUGAGCCCAGCUUCACUUUCACCCUCCUCCACCUGCCAAGCCCUACCUGUCCGAGACACCACGGAGUUCUCAUUUCCUUCCUCUUUCCACCAGUCUGAAGAAGAAAAUGGCCAAGAAUGAAGUCCUCAGGACAUUAAGAUGACGUAGAAAACACAAAAAGGAGAAAGACUUUGCUGUUAUUUACCCCACAUCAUUCCAUUAAAGUUUCUUGGAUCUCUUCUUCAUCCAUGUAGCAAUAACCCUGGGGGUGGGAACCAGCAAUCCAAGUCCUCCAAAUGAUUUGGCGGUUCUUCAAGGAUUAUCUGACUCCAUAAGGGUGGACAUUUAUGGUUGUCUUUCUAUUGACUAGGCUAUUUUAUAACCCUAUAAAGACGGAAGUUUAGUUACAGAAAAACUGACAAUUAUACAAAUUAUUCUUAUCCAUAGAUAUACAAAUGAAUUUUGUCUAGUAGAGAUACAUAGAGUUUUAGAAAAGAUAACCCCACUCCAAUUUAUAGUAUAUGAACCAGUUUUUUGUCCAUUGGCAAAUUCAGCAUUACUGGUUAUAUGUGUCUCUUUAAAUUUACUCUUAACUGGAUUUAACCAUUUUCUGGCUCCCUCAUUAAUUAAGGAGCUAAAUAAAUAAAAUCUACAACACAAGUUCAUUUUAUACUUGUAUGACAGCCAUAAUUUUACUUCUUUGAAAAUUAUACUUUCACAUAGCAAUUCUCAGAGUGAAGUCCCA